UACUCCUACGGGGAGGCAGCAGUGGGGAAUAUUGCACAAUGGGGGAAACCCUGAUGCAGCCAUGCCGCGUGUGUGAAGAAGGCCUUCGGGUUGUAAAGCACUUUCAGUAGGGAGGAAGGUAGUGUAGUUAACACCUGCAUUAUUUGACGUUACCUACAGAAGAAGCACCGGCUAACUCCGUGCCAGCAGCCGCGGUAAUACGGAGGGUGCGAGCGUUAAUCGGAAUUACUGGGCGUAAAGCGCAUGCAGGCGGCCUGUUAAGUCAGAUGUGAAAGCCCGGGGCUUAACCUCGGAAUUGCAUUUGAAACUGGCAGGCUAGAGUCUUGUAGAGGGGGGUAGGAAUUUCAGGUGUAGCGGUGAAAUGCGUAGAGAUCUGAAGGAAUACCAGUGGCGAAGGCGGCCCCCUGGACAAAGACUGACGCUCAGAUGCGAAAGCGUGGGGAGCAAACAGGAUUAGAUACCCUGGUAG
rnacentral:rRNA from 1 species